UAAAUUGCAGUAUGAUUCUUAUGCUUUCAAAAUUAAAUUUUUCGUAAGGAGGCUGGCAUCUAACGGUUUGUUUCUCUACUACUUCGAAAAAAAGAUAUAAACAGAAUAUUCAAACAAAUUAGAAUUUUUUUACUUUUCAUCCAGAACCAGAAUUUACGGGAUCAGAUCAAAAUAUUUUUCUUUAAUAAAUCUUUUUCGAUGAAAUAUUGCUCUUAUAAAGUUGAUGAAUUGUGGUUUUGUGGACUGGAGGAAAGUGGAGAAUUCAAUCAACAUUGAAGCAGCGACACGUUCGCUUUGAAAGAAUGAGAAGCAAUACUAAUGUCACCAAGUAUGGGAAUUUUCAACAGUUCAAUCUUCAAUUUUUCAUAGAAACUGAAACAAGAUAAAAUGAUGAAUCAUCUCAAAAUAUUUCAAGAAAGUUUCAUCAGCAUGUAAACUUCGCAGAAAAUCAUUUCAAAAAGCAACCCCGAAAGGAGCGAAUUAAACUUCAUCUACUUGGUUACAGGAACUGCAUUAUGUUGAGUAAGUUUUAUUCUAUCAAUAGCGUGUCAAUUUUCAACAGAAUUCAUCCAUGG